CAAUUAUGUGUGGUAACCCAUCUUCCGAAAGCAUCUAUUCCUGAUCUGGGAUAGCGCCGUACUAAGGAUUUAACAGGUUUUGCUUGGAUGUUGUGGCUGGGAAUGCUAUCGACUGAUGGUAGCCAGUGUACAAUAUUAUGGUCACUGGAUCCUAAUGGAGCAAGGACAUUAGGGCGGUCAUAUAAAUUAUACAGGUUUGUAAGAAUAAGAUCGAGUAUUGCUGAUUCUCCAG